GUUUUUCCUCGGUUUGGCACAUAGUCUGACAGUGUUCCUGGCACUGAAACCGACGUGGUGACACGCUUACCUGGAUGCCAGCCUGGACAGCCAUGACUGCGAUGAUCGAUUCACUUCUUCAUCCUGUGGAUAAAUGACAAAGAUUGCAGAAGUGAUGCUGUGGAUGUGGAUGUGGAGCAAAGAGCCACUGAACCCGCUUCAACCUCCCCGUUGCCUGCAAUAUCAACUCCUUCUCUAUGAAACUUCUUCCUGCUGAGCCCUUUGUGUCUGGA